UUAAGUAAGUAGCUGCCUGAGUAAACUGCUUAAAGAAGAACUGGUGGUUGCGGUUGCGUCUUUCUUGCUGGUGGAGUGGGACGCGACAAAUGGUGCUGAAGAAACCCAGGACCUGAAUCCCCCACUGAAGAGGUUCAGAACUUUCUGCAGUCAGGGUCUGUCCACAGAAUGAGUACAGCAAGAAGUCACUGACAGAGACAAUGCAGCUUCUCCUGAUGAACGUGCUGACACCAAUCACUGCACACUGACCAGUUUCUAUCAGCAUGGGAGCCCAGUCCUUGAUACCUACCACAAAGGAAUCCUUCCUGCAUGCCAUAGUUGAGCACCACUCCAAAUACAUAGUGACUAUAAGAAAGCAGGCUAUGCAAGCCAUGAGGAGUAAGCAGCACUCCUCCAU